rnacentral:rRNA from 1 species
GGUCAAGCUACAAAGGGCGAAGGGUGGAUACCUAGGCACAC